GUUCACCACUGUCACACACUGAAGGCCUAUAGGUUCACCACUGUACUAACCUGUUACACACUGAAGACCUAUAGGUUCACCACUGUACUAACCUGUCACACACUGAAGACCUAUAGGUUCACCCCUGUACUAACCUGUCACACACUGAAGACCUAUAGGUUCACCACUGUACUAACCUGUUACACACUGAAGACCUAUAGGUUCACCACUGUACUAACCUGUCACACACUGAAGACCUAUAGGUUCACCACUGUACUAACCUGUCACACACUGAAGUCCUAUAGGUUCACCACUGUACUAACCUGUCACACACUGAAGGCCUAUAGGUUCACCACUGUACUAACCUGUCACACACUGAAGACCUAUAGGUUCACCACUGUACUAACCUGUCACACACUGAAGACCUAUAGGUUCACCACUGUACUAACCUGUCACACACUGAAGGCCUAUAGGUUCACCACUGUACUAACCUGUCACACACUGAAGACCUAUAGGUUCACCACUGUACUAACCUGUCACACACUGAAGACCUAUAGGUUCACCACUGAAGACCUAUAGGUUCACCACUGUACUAACCUGUCACACACUGAAGACCUAUAGGUUCACCACUGUACUAACCUGUCACAUACUGAAGACCUAUAGGUUCACC
ensembl:lncRNA